CUCGGCAACACUACAAUCACCAAACCUAGCGGAAGAGGCCACUUUUUCCUCGCUACCCAACGUUUUGCUCCCGAUGUGCUGGCCCUGACACGCAGCUACACCCGACCAAACAUGGGCCCUGCUACCACCGGCAGCCCUGACAUCCAAGGAAUGUGCCAUUUUCAUUAAUGUGAAAGCGUACGCCCAAUAGCAGCCAUGGCCGAUAGUGUUAGAAACCGGCUGUUUGUCAAGGAUGACGACAAUGAUGCAGUGUUCACAGAGGAGGACAAAACUAAUUUCAUUAUUCACAAAAUGACUUAAGGAAACAACCACACUGCAUCUCCCGAAAGUUGAGCGGCAAGCAGGAAUGGAUAAUGACUUAUGAACAUUUAUAAUUAAUAAAAAACAUAAAAUAACAGGAUGAAAACGAAGAAGGUAAAUGCCAAAAACUCCAAGAAGUUGGUCAGCACUUGACCCGGAUAGGGACAAUUUCAUGGAUGGACGAAAACCCACUUCUGGGUGUUCUUAGUCCUUUUUCUAAAUGUUCUCUCUCGUCCGCAAUAUGCGAUUCCCAGGGAAAUAGAAUGCCUAAGGCUCUAAACUCUUCAGCCAGUCAAUGGAAUAGGGUACAAAACCAAAAGUAAUGAUAAUAAUUCAUUCAAUUUAUAUAGGGGUUUUCAAGGACCCAAAGACGCUUAAAUACAGGUUUAUUUUCAAGAACAAUAUAUCAUCUAAGAACAAUUAUAUUUAUAACUUAAGUGCCAUACGCCCUUCACACAGCCAUUCAUGGAAACAGAAAAGUAAUUUCAGUCCAACUGCAGGCGAGCAAGAGCUCACUGCUCGCUGGCACUCAUGAAAAAUGUGGUCGACUUCGGGGAAACCAUUCCUGCUGUUGCCCAUAUGGCGCCGCCAUAAUCAACCAAAAAAUUAAGACCUGUCUCGUGGGCCUUCAAUCAAUACUGUUUUGUCAAUCAAUCUUGUUUUUCUAACUUUCCUGGGCCUUUUUGAUGGCGUGUUUAAUUUUGUCAUUGACCUCUCUGUUCUCAUGUUCUGUACCAGUAAAUACAUUUUGUUCUAUUAU